UGCGAGUGCUAUAAAAUAAUAUAGUGCAAACGGGUGAGGAAAUACCACAAAAUCACUGCAGUAUAGGAAAAAACAUGAGAAGCUUACAAUAUCUCAAAAAACUUACCUAGAAGAUGUAUUUGUGGAAGAUUAAGGUUGAUGGGGUGAGAGUGCACACCAUGCCUACGAUCUUUAGCUGGUCUGAGAGGAUGAUCAGCCACACUGGGACUGAGACAAGGCCCAGGCUUCUUUUGAAGCCAGCAGUGAGGAAUAUUGGACAAUGCAUUUUAUUGCGAUCCAGCCAUAAGUAGUGAAGGAUUGAAGACUCCUUGAGGUUGUAAACUUCUACAACAUGCAUCAAAAUGACAUAUGCAUGUGGAUUAGCUCCGGCCAACUUCGUGCCAGCAGCCGCGGUUAGACGAUGGGAGCGAGCCUUAUCCGUAAUGACUGGGCGUAAAGCGUUCGUAGAUGGUUAAAAAUUCUUGGUAAUGAAAGCCAUACUUUUAAAAGUUGAAGGGUUACCAAAAGAGUUUAACUAGAGGAAAAAAGAGGAUGUUUGAAUUUUGCAAGGAGGGAUGGUAUCCAGAGAGCUGCAAAGGAAGACCAUUUGGCAAUGGCGGGCAUCUGGUUUUUUACUAACAUUGGGGAACGAAAGCGUGAGGAGCAAACAGGAUUAGAGACCCUGGUAGUCCACGCCCUCAAAUCUGGGUGCUAAGGGAUAAAAUUUAUUUAUGCAGAUAAAGCUAAGGCGUGAAGCACCCCGCCGGAGUAGUAAAGGUUUGAAACUCAAAGGAAUUGACGGGGGUCUAUACAAGUGGUGGAACAUGUGGUUUAUGCGAUAAUACGCGCCCAUCCUUACC
rnacentral:rRNA from 1 species